UACGUAGGUGGCAAGCGUUGUCCGGAUUUACUGGGCGUAAAGAGCGCGCAGGCGGUUUGUUGCGUCGGCUGUGAAAUCCCGAGGCUCAACCUCGGGUCUGCAGUCGAUACGAGCAAACUAGAGUGUUGCAGGGGAGACUGGAAUUCCUGGUGUAGCGGUGAAAUGCGCAGAUAUCAGGAGGAACACCGGUGGCGAAGGCGGGUCUCUGGGCAACAACUGACGCUGAGGAGCGAAAGCGUGGGGAGCGAACAGG
rnacentral:rRNA from 1 species